UGCAAUGGAAGAAUAUGUAGGUA
rnacentral:siRNA from 1 species